UCCGCCGUGGGGUAACGGUAGCCCGCAGGCCUUUGAAGCCUUGCAGUGCUGGUUCGAAUCCAGCCGGCGGAGC
rnacentral:tRNA from 1 species